UAUUGCCUACGGGACGCAGCAGUGGGAAUAUUGCACAAUGGGGGAAACCCUGAUGCAGCGACGCCGCGUGAGUGAAGAAGGAAUUCGUUAUGUAAAGCUCUAUCAGCAGGGAAGAAAAUGACGGUACCUGAGUAAGAAGCCCCGGCUAACUACGUGCCAGAAGCCGAGGUAAUACGUAGGGGGCAAGCGUUAUCCGGAUUGACUGGGUGUAAAGGGAGCGGAGACGGCAGUGCAAGUCUGGAGUGAAAGGCGGGGGCUAAACC
rnacentral:rRNA from 1 species